UACGUAUGGGGCAAGCGUUAUCCGGAUUUACUGGGUGUAAAGGGAGCGUAGGCGGCGGGGCAAGCCUGAUGUGAAAGCCCGGGGCUCAACCCCGGGACUGCAUUGGGAACUGCCCUGCUGGAGUGCCGGAGGGGCAGGCGGAAUUCCUAGUGUAGCGGUGAAAUGCGUAGAUAUUAGGAGGAACACCAGUGGCGAAGGCGGCCUGCAGGACGGUGACUGACGCUGAGGCUCGAAAGCGUGGGGAGCAAACAGG
rnacentral:rRNA from 1 species